GGUGUUGGAAAGAUUUAUCGGUUUUGGAUGGACUCGCGGCCUAUCAGCUUGUUGGUGAGGUAAUGGCUCACCAAGGCGACGACAGGUAGCCGGCCUGAGAGGGUGACCGGCCACACUGGGACUGAGACACGGCCCAGACUCCUACGGGAGGCAGCAGUGGGGAAUAUUGCACAAUGGGCGCAAGCCUGAUGCAGCGACGCCGCGUGAGGGAUGACGGCCUUCGGGUUGUAAACCUCUUUCAGUAGGGAAGAAGCGAAAGUGACGGUACCUGCAGAAGAAGCACCGGCUAACUACGUGCCAGCAGCCGCGGUAAUACGUAGGGUGCGAGCGUUAUCCGGAAUUAUUGGGCGUAAAGAGCUCGUAGGCGGUUUGUCGCGUCUGUCGUGAAAGUCCGGGGCUUAACCCCGGAUCUGCGGUGGGUACGGGCAGACUAGAGUGCAGUAGGGGAGACUGGAAUUCCUGGUGUAGCGGUGGAAUGCGCAGAUAUCAGGAGGAACACCGAUGGCGAAGGCAGGUCUCUGGGCUGUAACUGACGCUGACGAGCGAAAGCAUGGGGAGCGAACAGGAUUAGAUACCCUGGUAGUCCAUGCCGUAAACGUUGGGCACUAGGUGUGGGGACCAUUCCACGGUUUCCGCGCCGCAGCUAACGCAUUAAGUGCCCCGCCUGGGGAGUACGGCCGCAAGGCUAAAACUCAAAGGAAUUGACGGGGGCCCGCACAAGCGGCGGAGCAUGCGGAUUAAUUCGAUGCAACGCGAAGAACCUUACCAAGGCUUGACAUGUUCUCGAUCGCCGUAGAGAUACGGUUUCCCCUUUGGGGCGGGUUCACAGGUGGUGCAUGGUUGUCGUCAGCUCGUGUCGUGAGAUGUUGGGUUAAGUCCCGCAACGAGCGCAACCCUCGUUCCAUGUUGCCAGCACGUAGUGGUGGGGACUCAUGGGAGACUGCCGGGGUCAACUCGGAGGAAGGUGAGGACGACGUCAAAUCAUCAUGCCCCUUAUGUCUUGGGCUUCACGCAUGCUACAAUGGCCGGUACAAUGGGGUGCGAUACUGUGAGGUGGAGCUAAUCCCAAAAAGCCGGUCUCAGUGCGGAUUGGGGUCUGCAACUCGACCCCAUGAAGUCGGAGUCGCUAGUAAUCGCAGAUCAGCAACGCUGCGGUGAAUACGUUCCCGGGCCUUGUA
rnacentral:rRNA from 1 species